rnacentral:rRNA from 1 species
GCCAGACUCCUACGGGAGGCAGCAGUGGGGAAUAUUGCACAAUGGGGGAAACCCUGAUGCAGCGACGCCGCGUGAGUGGAGAAGUAUUUCGGUAUGUAAAGCUCUAUCAGCAGGGAAGAAAUAGCGACCUUUGGGUCGCCAGACGGUACCUGACUAAGAAGCCCCGGCUAACUACGUGCCAGCAGCCGCGGUAAUACGUAGGGGGCAAGCGUUAUCCGGAUUUACUGGGUGUAAAGGGCGUGUAGCCGGGCUGACAAGUCAGAUGUGAAAUCCGGGGGCUCAACCCCCGAACUGCAUUUGAAACUGUUGGUCUUGAGUAUCGGAGAGGCAGGCGGAAUUCCUAGUGUAGCGGUGAAAUGCGUAGAUAUUAGGAGGAACACCAGUGGCGAAGGCGGCCUGCUGGACGACAACUGACGGUGAGGCGCGAAAGCGUGGGGAGCAAACAGGAUUAGAUACCCGAGUA